AUAUAUAUAAUGGAACGUGUAAUUGUUGGUGGUUUUAUGUGUGCAAUGCGUGACUGUAACAGUAAUUCCGGAGCAGAUUGUCAUCUAAGCUUUUUUCGUUUUCCAUCUGAUUUAGAAAGCAAAAUUGUGGUUACAAGCAUGUGAUAUAAAGGAAAAUGUUCCACAAAAAAGACUGUAUAAUAAUUACAGAGUUUGUUCAAAACAUUUUGCUCCUCAUAUGUUUUUAAAUGAUUUAAAAAAUCGACUUCAACCACAUGCAGUUCCAAGUUCAGUUCUUAAUAUUACCAAUGAUGUAACAACUGAUCAGAUAGACAUUUCAACAGCAGACACUUCAUGUUUUACAACAAAUUUACAAGCAGAUGUAUACAGUGUUAAAGCCAUUU